ACUUGUUGGUGGGGUGAUGGCCUACCAAGGCGACGACGGGUAGCCGGCCUGAGAGGGCGACCGGCCACACUGGGACUGAGACACGGCCCAGACUCCUACGGGAGGCAGCAGUGGGGAAUAUUGCACAAUGGGCGCAAGCCUGAUGCAGCGACGCCGCGUGAGGGAUGACGGCCUUCGGGUUGUAAACCUCUUUCAGCAGGGAAGAAGCGUGAGUGACGGUACCUGCAGAAGAAGCGCCGGCUAACUACGUGCCAGCAGCCGCGGUAAUACGUAGGGCGCAAGCGUUGUCCGGAAUUAUUGGGCGUAAAGAGCUCGUAGGCGGCUUGUCGCGUCGGAUGUGAAAGCCCGGGGCUUAACUCCGGGUCUGCAUUCGAUACGGGCAGGCUAGAGUUCGGUAGGGGAGAUCGGAAUUCCUGGUGUAGCGGUGAAAUGCGCAGAUAUCAGGAGGAACACCGGUGGCGAAGGCGGAUCUCUGGGCCGAUACUGACGCUGAGGAGCGAAAGCGUGGGGAGCGAACAGGAUUAGAUACCCUGGUAGUCCACGCCGUAAACGUUGGGAACUAGGUGUGGGCGACAUUCCACGUUGUCCGUGCCGCAGCUAACGCAUUAAGUUCCCCGCCG
rnacentral:rRNA from 1 species